rnacentral:rRNA from 1 species
UACGUAGGGACCAAGCGUUAUUCGGAUUUACUGGGCGUAAAGGGCGCGUAGGCGGCGUGACAAGUCACUUGUGAAAUCUCCGGGCUUAACUCGGAACGGCCAAGUGAAACUGUCAUGCUAGAGUGCAGAAGGGGCAAUCGGAAUUCUUGGUGUAGCGGUGAAAUGCGUAGAUAUCAAGAGGAACACCUGAGGUGAAGACGGGUUGCUGGGCUGACACUGACGCUGAGGCGCGAAAGCCAGGGGAGCAAACGGG